CUAUCGUGCGUGAACUACAACAACAAAGUGAAGCAAGAGAAGUGUUUCAGACCCUAACGUACACUUUCUCUCUCUGCUUCUAUGGCCUCUGUUCUUCCUUCUUCACUUAGCUUUUAUUGGAAACCAUCCACUCUUUUCUUUAAUUUGAAUUCUGCCAACAAAUCGAGUUUACGUUUGCCUCCAAUUGGAUUUGGUUCGAUCAAGAAGAAGAAUCGAAAAAUUAGAGUUUCUCUCAGCGGAGCUACCUCUGUCGUCUUUCGCGAUCUCGAUGCCGAUGAUUUUAGACAUCCUCUUGAUAAACAGAAUACGCUUAUUCUGAGGGCAAUUCCAGGAUUAAACGAGCUUGGAAAGGCUUUACUAGGAACACUUGGAGAGCAAGUCAUGCUUCUCGAGAAUAUAGGGACAUCAGUUCUUGUUUCUAAAAAUCAGCUUUCUGAACUUCAUCAAUUGAUGAUUGAAGCUGCUGAAAUACUGAACGUUGAGGCUCCUGACCUGUAUUUGCGUCAAAGUCCGGUGCCAAAUGCAUAUACUCUAGCUAUCAGUGGUAAAAAGCCAUUUGUUGUUGUUCACACAAGUCUUGUGGAGCUUCUGACACGAAAGGAGUUGCAGGCUGUUUUGGCACAUGAGUUGGGUCACCUGAAAUGUGACCAUGGUGUAUGGCUGACGUUUGCAAAUAUUCUUACUCUCGGUGCCUAUACUGUACCUGGGCUUGGCGGGUUGAUAGCUCAGAGAUUGGAAGAACAGCUGUUUCGCUGGAUCCGAGCGGCAGAGCUAACUUGCGAUCGUGCAGCCCUUCUUGUUGCUCAAGACCCUAAGGUGGUCGUCUCUGUUCUAAUGAAAUUAGCGGGGGGCUGCCCGUCUAUGGCGGAUCAACUAAAUGUGGAUGCAUUCUUGGAGCAAGCUCGCUCUUAUGACAAAGCUUCUUCAAGCCCAAUGGGGUGGUAUAUAAGAAAUGCUCAAACGAGGCAACUUUCACAUCCUAUUCCUGUCCUACGAGCUCGUGAGAUUGAUGAAUGGUCAAGAAGUCAAGAGUAUAGAAUUCUUUUGAAUCGUGCAAUACAGAUUAAUUCUGUGCAAAAAGUUUAGCAUUGCACGAUAGAUGGAGUUUGAAAUCUAGCACAGCUCGAAUACUUCCUCAGUUGUAUGUUUUUAGGUGCUUAUUCAGGUUCCUCAAUGCUGAUCUGUUUUGAUGUGUUUCCUCAACGCUGAUCAGAUAUAUACUUGCGAGGCGAAGGAGAGUGCAAUGGAUGAAGUGUGGAUUCAACUUAUAGUUAACUGCUGUAAAAUCGUUGUUUCUGCGAGGAUUGGACUCAUUUUGGUGUGCUGUAAAAUAUUGGUUUAUCCAACUAUUGUAAAUUUACAAUAAGGAAACAAUAGUGGGGUAGGUUUUUGGUCUGAUGUGCGAAAAAGAAGUUUGGAUUCUGGAAGGCAUUACAAAUAGCAUAUACACUAGUGAAAUCAGAUGAUCGUUGUUGUAUGAUACAGUUUCACCAUGUUGACUUGUACUCGAUAUAAAAAAAUUAUACCUACUCAAGUUACGUUAUGGCUUCAAAA